AUAUCUCUCUGUACGGGAAGGAUGAGAAGCUUCGACUAAGGUUCAAUUCGAGCGAAAGCGAGAAAGCGUUGCCAACGGCAACGACCCGAAGGGCGAAGCGCGCAGCGCUGAGUAAUCCUUCCCCCACCACCA
rnacentral:sRNA from 1 species